GCACCUACCCAUUGAGCCUUGCGGAGCACUCACUCAGGGUUUGGAGUCUGUAUCUGGAUUAAAAAUCCCAUGUCUCGACUGGGAUCCGAACCCAGUACCUACCAGCCUGUAGACCGAUGGCCUAAACACGACGCCACUGAAGCCGGUCAGAUAGUGUGAAAGAAGUUGAGACAAGUAGUUGAUGAGAAAGAGGAAGCAAAAUGUGUGGUGAGAUAUACAGAAACUGCAUGUGUGAAGGAAGCUGAGACAAGUGAUGGUGUUUCCAUGUAGAGGAGUCGGAGGAAUCUGACAGAAGAGGAUCCGAACAAAUUUAAUCAUUGGAGACGUUG